rnacentral:lncRNA from 1 species
GCUGCAGCUGAACAAUCCCGUCUGACAUGUACAUUUGUUUCCUGCCCAUGCCCGCACAAAAGACAACUUGUAGAGUGUAGUCUCAAGCAGAGAAGAUUGACCAACUGGAAGACCACAAUUUGUACAAUUUGAUUACGGCUCAUGGGGGGUUGUCGUGAAAGGUCUUGGGGAGGGUCAAUGCAAAGGAUAAAAUAUAUAAAUUAAGGGAGGGAGGCAUUCACUUGCUUUUGUAAUUAUUAAUUAUUAUAUGAUUAAUAUUUUAAUAAUUUAAUUAUUAUAUUAUAUGUUUCAUUUAUGUAUACCAAAUUUGAUAUAAAUUUAAAAUUUUUAACUAUUUACUUUACAUUAAUAAAAAUAAUACAACCGUUGAAUAUAUAUUAAUAUAUCAAGUAUUUUAGAUAGAUUGAUAAAAAUAUUAGAUUAAUUUAAAAUUUUACAUGCAUGACAAAUGUAAUUAUAUUGAUAAAUUUAACAGUUAAAUUAUUGAAAUAUAAAUCAUAUAAAUAAUUAUGAUAGUGUGUAAAACUAAUAUAUGACAUAGACAUAAAAUACGAUUAAUAAUUAGAAUGCAAGAUGAAAAUUAAAAUAAACAAGAAUAAAUAAAUGAAUAUGUAUAAAUUAUUAACACUUAAAAUUUUAUUUUAAUUUAUACUAACAAAUUUGUAAUAUUUUUUAUACUAAAUUUGUAAUAUUUUUAAACAUAUAAAAAGUUAACACAAAAUUCUUUAAUGCUUAUCCUUUUAGUUGGAUCAAAAGAAGAUCCAUGCUCUACUCCUUCUAAUUGCAUUGCCAUGCAUAUUUGCUCACAAACACAUCCAAAAUUACAGUUUUGCCUCUGUUUUUUCCUGAGAAAAUGAAGCCUAACAUACAGAGUUGAUAAGGAUACUAUUUCAUUGUCAACAAAACAAAGGUAAAGCCAAUAAAAACUAAAACUCAAGUAGAGCCCAAUACUUUUUGGCCCAUUUGUUUCUGUUAUAGUUUAGGGUUAUUAGUAUUUUUUCCUGGUAAAGCUUCAUUAGUGAUAUAUAUUUUAGUAUCCUUGUCAACUCUGUAUGUUGGGCUUCAUUUUCUCCGGCAUCACCAGCUCUAUUUAAGGACUGAUUUGCAUAAAAUAAUAGAGGUUAUAGUAAAACUGUAAUUUUUUUGAAGAAUAGUGAUAAAACUGUAAAAUUCAAAAAAAACAAUGACAGCUGGCAAAUUCAGAAAAAAACAGUGGCAAAACUGUAAUUUUGAAUUGUUACAGGAAUCCUGUAUUUGUGAGCAAAUAUGCAUGGUAAUGCAAUUAGGAGUAGAGCAUGGAUCUUCUUUUGAUCCAACUAAAAGGAUCAUUUUUGGUUCUUCAUCAAAAGUCAAUAAGUUGGACUCGUUUCUCUGCCUUAAGAAGCCUUAAGUUUUAGUGUGGUCGGGAUUCACUAAUCAUGAAAGGUGAUUUAAGACAUAAAAUGUAGUGGGGAGAUACGCAGAGAGCUAGGAAGCACCGACACGGGAAAAAUCCCCUCUUACCAGUGUCGUAUUGGUGUCCGACACGGACAUGCCGCCGACACGACUGGAUACGUAACGGACAUACCUUAAAGCGUGUCAAAAAAGGACACUCCUGAACUUUACUUUGGCCUGAAUCAAAAACAGAAAAAAAAACCCAUAUACAAGAAUAGAACUUUAGUAAACAGAUAAAAAGAACUUUAACAUUUAAUCGUGAUAAUUUAUGGGAUUUUUAACAUACCUGUCUUCUUUGAAGUCGAUUCGCUUAUAUGAAGAUGAUGAUGCUGGGUUCUUUUUUUGCAGAGAAUGAAAUACAGAGGCAAAGGUAAAGACGGUAAAUGAGAA